CCUACGGGUGACAGCAGUGAGGAAUAUUGGUCAAUGGCCGAGAGGCUGAACCAGCCAAGUCGCGUGAGGGAAGACGGCCCUACGGGUUGUAAACCUCUUUUGUCAGGGAGCAAGGUGCAGUUCGUGACCUGCUGUGAGAGUACCAGAAGAAAAAGCAUCGGCUAACUCCGUGCCAGCAGCCGCGGUAAUACGGAGGAUGCGAGCGUUAUCCGGAUUUAUUGGGUUUAAAGGGUGCGCAGGCGGAGGCACAAGUCAGCGGGAAAAUCGCGGGGCUCAACCUCGAUCCGCCGUUGAAACUGGGUGUCUUGAGUGCGGGAAGGGUAGGCGGAAUGCGUGGUGUAGCGGUGAAAUGCAUAGAUAUCACGCAGAACCCCGAUUGCGAAGGCAGCAUACCGGUGUAUAACUGACGCUCAGGCACGAAAGCGUGGGUAUCGAACAGGAUUAGAGACCCUGGUAGUC
rnacentral:rRNA from 1 species